UCCAAACAUCCUGAAAACACUUAACAAAGUUAGAAAAUAAAAAUCUUCACACUCUCAAGUGUUUAGCUCUCGAUUUUUAAAUGGUCACUCAGAGUUCUUUCACUGGUUCAAAAGAUGAUAGGCAGUCAAGAUUCAGCAAUCAAAACCCAAAACAAACUUUGUGGGAAAAAAAAGAGAAAGAAAGAUGAAGAGAAUUUUGAUAUGGAUCCGCCUUAACUGUCCUAAGGCUGGAUUUCUCUUCAGCCAGCAGGGUUUCUCUUCCACCAUUCCCCCUGGAUUUCUCUUCAGAAGUGAUUCAAGCCAAAACUUUUACUCUCUUUCUUUUUUUUUUUUUAUCUUUUUUUUUUUUUUUUAAAUAACUGGCGAUCACAAGGGAGUAAAGGAACAGCCCGGAUCCAAAAAGAAAUAAGAAAAGAAAAAGAUGAAGAUAUGAGAAGAUGAUAAGAAGAAUGAAAACAAACCAGCCAAAGUGGCUCUGAUACCAACUGAAAAACCCUAGUGAAGGGAGGAUCACUUUAGCUGGGUGUUGGAUAUGAUCCGAGAAGGCAAACGGCACUUCUGGAACUGAGAUGGAUUGAAAGGAUCGUCAAGAGAUGCGGAAUGGCUCUUGAUAUACCCACGAUCUAAGGCUAACCACCUAAGAACGAAUGUAGUGUGUUGGCUAACCACCAAACGACACACAAAGAUGAUUGGCUGACCACCAAAUCAACAAGCCGGUUCAAACCGAUGAACUAGCUAAAGAACUCUCUCUCUCACUCAGAGAAGAAAAGAAAUAAACUCAAAAACAUAGACUGAUUUUAUUCAUAGAAGAGCUUACAUAUUUAUACUACUUGUGGUCAAAGAAAGAUUAAGAGUUUUUGUGGAAAACUAGAAACUUAGAAAACAUAAACAAAGACUAAGACUUUUGAC
rnacentral:lncRNA from 1 species